UACGUAGGGUGCGAGCGUUGUCCGGAAUUAUUGGGCGUAAAGAGCUCGCAGGUGGUUUGUCGCGUUGUUCGUGAAAACUCACAGCUCAACUGUGGGCGUGCGGGCGAUACGGGCAGACUGGAGUACUGCAGGGGAGACUGGAAUUCCUGGUGUAGCGGUGGAAUGCGCAGAUAUCAGGAGGAACACCGGUGGCGAAGGCGGGUCUCUGGGCCGAUACUGACGCUGAGGAGCGAAAGCGUGGGGAGCGAACAGG
rnacentral:rRNA from 1 species